UGGGGAAUAUUGGACAAUGGGCGCAAGCCUGAUCCAGCCAUGCCGCGUGAGUGAUGAAGGCCCUAGGGUUGUAAAGCUCUUUCACCGGUGAAGAUAAUGACGGUAACCGGAGAAGAAGCCCCGGCUAACUUCGUGCCAGCAGCCGCGGUAAUACGAAGGGGGCUAGCGUUGUUCGGAUUUACUGGGCGUAAAGCGCACGUAGGCGGACUAUUAAGUCAGGGGUGAAAUCCCGGGGCUCAACCCCGGAACUGCCUUUGAUACUGGAAGUCUUGAGUAUAGUAGAGGUGAGUGGAAUUCCGAGUAUAGAGGUGAAAUUCGUAGAUAUUCGGAGGAACACCAGUGGCGAAGGCGGCUCACUGGACCAUUACUGACGCUGAGGUGCGAAAGCGUGGGGAGCAAACAGG
rnacentral:rRNA from 1 species